rnacentral:rRNA from 1 species
CCUACGGGAGGCAGCAGUGAGGAAUAUUGGUCAAUGGACGAGAGUCUGAACCAGUCAAGUAGCGUGAAGGAUGACUGCCCUAUGGGUUGUAAACUUCUUUUAUAUGGGAAUAAAAUGUUCCACGUGUGGGAUUUUGUAUGUACCAUAUGAAUAAGGAUCGGCUAAAUCCGUGCCAGCAGCCGCGGUAAUACGGAGGAUCCGAGCGUUAUCCGGAUUUAUUGGGUUUAAAGGGAGCGUAGGCGGAUUGUUAAGUCAGUUGUGAAAGUUUUCGGCUCAAACGUAAAAUUGCAGUUGAAACUGGCAGUCUUGAGUACAGUAGAGGUGGGCGGAAUUCGUGGUGUAGCGGUGAAAUGCUUAGAUAUCACGAAGAACUCCGAUUGCGAAGGCAGUUCACUGGACUGCAACUGACACUGAGGCUCGAAAGUGUGGGUAUCAAACAGGAUUAGAUACCCUUGUAGUC